GACGAACGCUGGCGGCGUGCUUAACACAUGCAAGUCGAACGGAAAGGCCCUGCUUUUGUGGGGUGCUCGAGUGGCGAACGGGUGAGUAACACGUGAGUAACCUGCCCUUGACUUUGGGAUAACUUCAGGAAACUGGGGCUAAUACCGGAUAGGAGCUCCUGCUGCAUGGUGGGGGUUGGAAAGUUUCGGCGGUUGGGGAUGGACUCGCGGCUUAUCAGCUUGUUGGUGGGGUAGUGGCUUACCAAGGCUUUGACGGGUAGCCGGCCUGAGAGGGUGACCGGCCACAAUGGGACUGAGAGACGGCCCAGAAGCCUACGUGAGGCAGCGGUGGGGAAUAUUGCACAAUGGGCGGAAGCCUGAUGCAGCAACGCCGCGUGCGGGAUGACGGCCUUCGGGUUGUAAACCGCUUUCGCCUGUGACGAAGCGUGAGUGACGGUAAUGGGUAAAGAAGCACCGGCUAACUACGUG
rnacentral:rRNA from 1 species